rnacentral:lncRNA from 1 species
UCUGGGCGGUGGAAAUGUGGAAGGUUUCGUGCUCCUACUGGGACAACGUCGCUGCCUCGACCCCACAUCGCGCUCUUCUUGGUGAAUAAAGCAGCCGAGAGAGGCACCGAGAGCCCACCGGUGAGGACCCCAGGAGAAGCCCCCGGCUCUGCGCGGACAGCCUGCCCCCCGCCGUCCUGUGCGGGGGGGGGGGGGGGGGGGGGGGGGGGGAAUGAUGACCCGGCCUUCCCUGACGCCGUGAGACAGCCACUGGCUGGGGCCAUUUCUCAACAGAAUGAAUAAGUUAACUAAUACACAGUUCUUUCGUAUGGUUUCUAAAAUAAUAAAACUGCCUAGGCAACCGUCCGAGAAUCAGACAGACAGACAGCUUCUAAGUUCUGCUUUUCUCGGUCUCAUUUGCGUCUUUUGUUUUUAUUUCUUUUCUCAUGAUGUAUUUGAUGCUGGUUAAAGGACCGCUGAUCAGUCUCUAAGGGACAUGAAAAGCUUGCAAGACUAUAAAUAUUUGAGAAGGCGGUACCUGGACAUUUCCAUUUAAAGGUGUCCGUAACGUUUUUUUGGAUCGGCAAGCUACGCAGAUUUCUAAAUGCGAAAAGUACAUGGUGACAUCUAAGUGUUAAUUAAUCAUUUAUUUUGUUACUUUGGAAACUAGAAGCUGAUCGUAGUUGACAUCUGAGGCUAGUGGAGACAUGAUCCCUGUCUUUCCUGCCCAGUGGUCAGGGCACGCCUCUCAGUCUCUGUUCUCUCGAAGCGUAAGUGAAUUCUGUGCAGAUUGUCACUUUCCUGUCACUGGUGUGCAUCCUGCUGGGCGCUAAUCAGCUUGUAGUCCUAGUUGACUUAAGGUUUGGGGACCCCAAGGCCGUGUGGACAACCCCACAUCAGCAACACAUUGGGUAGGAGAGGGUCAGAUGCCUGGCAAUAGGCGUUUCAGUGAUUUUUCCAAACAGGAUUGAUUUACCAGUUAAUCUUGACAAUUGCUGGGUGUUUCUUGGCAUUUACUCAAUAGAAUUAUGGACGUUAGAGACUUUCUGAGACAGCAGUUGUUCCAUGGCUGAAGAUAGUUUCUACCCCAAUUUUCCACUUAGGUUUUGAAGAACUGCAGUGUUUUCAACUUCCCUUAAAAGGUGUUCCCAGGUAACAGAAAACAGGUUGAAAAAAUGCUAAAGCCCACUUAAUUUUCCUUUUCGAAGCUUAACGCAGUUAAUUCGCUUUUUCUGGCAAGCGGCUCCCUCUCGGUGGAAAGACCGAGAGGGCUCGUCCUGACAGAGAUCCUCGACCCAGGUGUGAAACCGGGUUUUCUUCUGAGGAAAAGCCUUUCUUGGAAUAUUGACUUCCCCCGAAUCGUUUCAGGGCUUUGGCUGGUGCAGAGUUGACAGAGGCCUGGACAUCUAUAUGCGACAGAAAGGAACCCUCGCCAGAAACUUCUCUGCGUGAUGUUGCUGGCAGAUCAGCGGGCCAUUAUCAGCGGGCACCUCUGCGGAGCGGAAGAUGCCCAAAGGGUGGUUGAAAUGACUGAUAUUUGACAAACACUUAUCUUCACAACGUAAACACCUGUUUCCUGGCAACCACGAAAGCCCAUCCCUCGAUUCGGUUUUCUCACGUAUUACAGAAAAUAAAAAUCCAGAUGAAGAAAACAGACCCUCUUUGCCGGGUGCUGCCAUUACGGCCCUUGUGCGAUCAUUAUUCGCAUCGCUGUCGAUACCAUAAAUUUGAAGUGAUCUCAGUGACAUUAAUAAGGAUUUCUGGCCGGCAUGUGUUUGUGAUGUGGCCUCCCGGGCUCGGUCUGUCACACCAGCGUUCACCGCGUCGUGCUCUCCGAAGGGCAACUUUGCUCUCAAAACCCAUGGAGAAAGAACCCCCUAAGACUCCCCACGCCCCAGACCAGGCACUCUUACCUGCUCCUGGGCCUGAAUUCAAUUUCCACUUAGGUCAGAAGCACUUCUGUGAGUGGAAGGCGUCUUGAUUCAACACGAAAGGCCGUCGGUCUCGCAACACUGAAAAGAAAGGCGGCCUUUUAUACGCCACGGGAUUCACCAGCCCCUUUGCUGAACCCACUUGCCCCCAAACUCCCUGCCCCAUUAACCAGCACACGUGGGACUCUGGCUGAAUGUUCAUUACAAACAGAGUUUAGUCUCUGCUCAGGAACGGGCUCGGGUUUUCGCUGGUUAAGAUCAAGGGUCUUGUUCAAGGUGCACAUGUGUAUUAGUGUUAAUAAUCCAGUGUCACUCAGUGAAUGCCGUACUAAUUUAAAACCAUGCUCUGUAAACCUCUGCCUCUCGCGGCCACACAUCCAAAUGUCCCGGAAAGAGAAUCGGUUAAGAUUAGCUUAUCUGUGGCUUACGUGUCUCAAAGGCCAUCAACAAUAUAUUGCUUGGAAUUCUUAGAAAUCAGUUGUGUCCAUUUAAAUUGGUUUGUUACUAAAGUAAUGAAGAGGGAGCCUGGGAGCCAUUUAGAGGCACUUUGUUAUGACCGAAGCUCCCGGUCCUAGAACUGUA